CUUGGACUCACGGUCCUCUGUGACCAAACUCAGGGACUUUUGGACUUCCUGCUUAUAGCUGAGGAAGCAGGGAAGGAAUCUCUGGGGUGAGGACUGAAUUUUUUUGUGAUCCUCUUGUCUCCUGGCUUCAGCUUAUCUAACGGUUUCUUUCAAGGAUCUAAAGAACCUCCGCUUAGCCAUCAUGGAAACAUGGGGUGCUGAGGGAGAAAGGUGGACCUGGGAAGGAGCCAUGAUUGGGCCUCUGUCACCUUAAGUUUUAUGGAUUCAACAACUUUGAGAGAUCCUGCUGCUGACGGGACAUUCUCCAGCAAGGAUGGAGAUGGGUGCUCUGGUCUGAGAGGCCACGCUAUCCUGAGGAAUGUUGACAGCUGAAGGAUUCAAGGUUUCCUGAGAUCUUUGGACCAAAAAAAAGUAAAUGCCACAAAUAUUCUAGUUGCUUUUGCAAUCAGUGCCAAUUCAGUCAUUGAAUUUCCCUUGGG
rnacentral:lncRNA from 1 species